rnacentral:rRNA from 1 species
AGUUGUUGCUGGUCCUCAAAUGGGGGCAUGUGCACGCUCUGUUUACACAUCCACUCACACCUGUGCACCUUCUGUAGUUCUAUGGGCUGGGGGACCCUGUCCUCCUUCUGUAGCUCUACGUCUUUACACACACACUGUAAUAAAGUCUUGUGGAAUGUAUGCCGCGUUUAACGCAAUACAAUACAACUUUCAGCAACGGAUCUCUUGGCUCUCGCAUCGAUGAAGAACGCAGCGAAAUGCGAUAAGUAAUGUGAAUUGCAGAAUUCAGUGAAUCAUCGAAUCUUUGAACGCACCUUGCGCCCCUUGGUUAUUCCGAAGGGCAUGCCUGUUUGAGUAUCAUGAACACCUCAACUCUUGUGGUUUCCCACAAUGAGCUUGGACCAUGGGGGUUUUUGUUGGCCUUCUGGUCAGCUCCUCUCAAAUGUAUCAGCUUACCGGUGUUUGGUGGCAUCAUGGGUGUGAUAACUAUCUACGCUCGUGGUCGUCUCCAAAUGACCUCCAGUGAUGGGGGUUCGCUGGAGCUUAUAAAUGUCUCUCCCUAGUGAAGACAGCCUUUGAACGUUCGAUCUCAAAUCAGGUAGGACUACCCGCUGAACUUAAGCAUAUCAAUAAGCGGAGGAAAAGAAACUAACAAGGAUUCCCCUAGUAACUGCGAGUGAAGCGGGAAGAGCUCAAAUUUAAAAAUCUGGCGUGCCUCUGGUCGUCCGA